rnacentral:rRNA from 1 species
GUGCCAGCCGCCGCGGUAAGACAGAGGAGGCCAGCGUUGUCCGGACUGACUGGGCGUAAAGCGCGCGCAGGCGGCGCGGGGCGUCGGUGCUGAAAGGCUCCCGCUUAACGGGGGACGGCGUGCCGAUACGCUCGCGCUGGAGGACGGGCGAGGGUGGUGGAAUUGCCGGUAUAGUGGUGAAAUGCGUAGAGAUCGGCAGGAACACCCAGGGGGAAACCAGUGGACUGGGCAGGGGCUGACGCUCAGGUGCGAAAGCGUGGGGAGCGAACCGGAUUAGAAACCCGCGUAGUCC